AUGAGCUACCAGCAGGUCCCUCCGCAGGAGUCCUACCCGCCGCCAGGGUAUUCGCCGGUGUACCCGCCGCCGGCCGGCGGGCAGCAGGGCCCGUACUACCCGCCGCAGCAGCAGCAGCCGCCGCCGCCUCCGGGGUACCAGGGAUACUUCAGCCAGGGCCAGCCACAGCAGCCACCGCCCUACUACUACCCGCCCCCGCCGCCGCACAGUGGCCAUCACCACCACGGCCACCACCACCAUGACCACCACGCCGAGGACCACCACCACCACCAUGGUCAUCAUCACCACCACCACCACAACGACGAUGACUGCUGCCUUGGCUUCCUCAAAGGAUGGUUGGCCGCUCUAUGCUGCUGCUGCUGUCUGGAGGAGUGCUGCUGCUGUUUCUGGUAA
rnacentral:rRNA from 1 species